rnacentral:tRNA from 1 species
CACUAGGAAGCUAAAUAGGAGCUAGCGUCAGCCUUUUAAGCUGAAGAUUGGUGACUUCCAACCACCCUUAGUGA